rnacentral:rRNA from 1 species
GUAGUCCACGCCCUAAACGAUGGAUGCUAGGCGUAGGAGGUAUCGACCCCUCCUGUGCCGCAGCUAACGCACUAAGCAUCCCGCCUGGGGACUACGGCCGCAAGGUUGAAACUCAAAUGAAUUGACGGGGACCCGCACAAGCGGUGGAGCAUGUGGAUUAAUUCGAUACUAACCGAAGAACCUUACCCAGGUUUGACAUCGAGGGAAAGACUGUGAAAGCAGUCCCCCACCCACAAGGUGGCCCGAAGACAGAUGUUGCAUGGCUGUCGUCAGCUCGUGCCGUGAGGUGUACGGUUAAGUCCGCCAACGAGCGCAACCCCCGUCCUGUGUUACCAGCGAGUAAAGUCGGGCACUUACAGGAGACCGCCGGUGUAAGCCGGA